rnacentral:lncRNA from 1 species
UUUAGAUUUAGGGGAUUUGUUCUGUAAUUUUCUCGUAUGUGAAAUUUGAAUUAUCGUUAGAUAAAUUAUGUUGUUGUACAUUAUUCGAAAUUAUAAUUGAUUUGUUUGUUGCAGGGAAAGAAAUUUUGGAAUAUAUGGAUGACAUUAUACCGGUGGAGUCCGAUAAUGAGAAUGUUGUGAAAAAUACAAACAUACUAGGUGAUGAUAUGUUAGUUAGAGAUAGUGUGAUUGUGCCUGAGGUGGGUAUGAAAUUUAAGGAUGAAAAUGAAAUGUUCAAUUUUUACAAAAGAUUUGCAUACAAAAUUGGUUUCCUAGUUAGAAAAAGAAAUUCAAGAAAGGAUGAUGAUGGAGUAUUGAGAAAUAUUAUAUGUGUUUGUAGUCGUGACGGAAAAAGAAUAAGAAAUACAAGCAGUUCUUUGAAGUGGCAAGCAACCAUUCAAAGUGGAUGUAAAGCUGGGAUCACUAUGGAGAAUUUGCACGGUACACCUAGACCACAAUCAUAAGACAAGCACUACGAAGUCUAUGCUAUAUCGAUGCAACCAAAAGUUGAGUGCACAUGUGAAACGGUGACUUGAAGUAAAUGACAUGGCCGAAAUUCCAUUACACAAGAGUUUCAAUUCUGCUGUUGUUGAAGCAGGUGGAUAUGAAAAUAUGACUUGCAUCGAAAAUGAUUGUUAAAACUACAUCGAAAAAGUUAGGUGUUUAAGGCUUGGAGAAGGGGACAGAGCAGCAAUACAAUCAUACUUCUCUAAAAUGCAAGCACGGUGCUCGGGCUUUUACUUUAGUAUGGAUUUGGAUGAUGAGUUGCAUCUAAAGAAUGUUUUCUGGGCAGAUAAUAGGAAUAGACAAGUGUAUAAGAAGUUUGGUGAUGUCGUCACAUUCGACACCACAUACCUCACUAACAAGUACGAUAUACCAUUUGCCCCUUUUGUUGGAGUGAACCAUCAUGGACAGUCGACGCUUAGAAUAGCAUAUUCAGUAAUGCAUUUCAAUGUCAAACUGGUCUUUUUGUAAAGUUGGAAUAGCAUAUUAUUGGUGCGAGUAGAUUUCGGUUUCUAUGCAGUACAAUGUCAAAAGUUAUUUUUAUUUUUGAAUGCUG